AGUUAAUUGAUUAAUUAAUUUAAUAAUGAUUACAUAAUAAAAAUAGCAAAAAAAGGAUUAAAUUGAACUCUAAAAACCAAAUUCGGGGGCAAAUUUGUGAAUAAAUAAAAGGGAAGGACUAUUCUGAACACGCGAAUAACAUGGAGGGAUUGAAAGGGUAAUUUUCCCUUUCCCCCAAAACGACGUCGUUCGAAUGGGGGCUAAACUGAAAUGGCAAAAAAAAAUCACGGGGUAAAAUAAAAAAAAUUAAAAAUACUUAAUUGAAAAGCCAUUAAAAAGAGGAAGGGCUAAAAGUGCAAUUAGCCCUUCCAACAAAAACACGCGGAUCCUAGCCAUGCAGUGGGUUGGGUUCGGGUCGGCCUCCCCAAAAUGACGCCGGCGCCGUCGACCGUGUGUUCGAGGUUUUUCUUUUUUC
rnacentral:lncRNA from 1 species